AUGCACCGAAGCUGCGGCAGCGACACUGUGUGUUGUUGGGUAGGGGAGCGUUCUGUAAGCCUGUGAAGGUGUACUGUAAGGUAUGCUGGAGGUAUCAGAAGUGCGAAUGCUGACAUAAGUAACGAUAAAGCGGGUGAAAAGCCCGCUCGCCGGAAGACCAAGGGUUCCUGUCCAACGUUAAUCGGGGCAGGGUGAGUCGACCCCUAAGGCGAGGCCGAAAGGCGUAGUCGAUGGGAAACAGGUUAAUAUUCCUGUACUUGGUGUUACUGCGAAGGGGGGACGGAGAAGGCUAUGUUGGCCGGGCGACGGUUGUCCCGGUUUAAGCGUGUAGGCUGGUUUUCCAGGCAAAUCCGGAAAAUCAAGGCUGAGGCGUGAUGACGAGGCACUACGGUGCUGAAGCAACAAAUGCCCUGCUUCCAGGAAAAGCCUCUAAGCAUCAGGUAACAUCAAAUCGUACCCCAAACCGACACAGGUGGUCAGGUAGAGAAUACCAAGGCGUUUGAGAGAACUCGGGUGAAGGAACUAGGCAAAAUGGUGCCGUAACUUCGGGAGAAGGCACGCUGAUAUGUAGGUGAAGUCCCUCGCGGAUGGAGCUGAAAUCAGUCGAAGAUACCAGCUGGCUGCAACUGUUUAUUAAAAACACAGCACUGUGCAAACACGAAAGUGGACGUAUACGGUGUGACGCCUGCCCGGUGCCGGAAGGUUAAUUGAUGGGGUCAGCGCAAGCGAAGCUCUUGAUCGAAGCCCCGGUAAACGGCGGCCGUAACUAUAACGGUCCUAAGGUAGCGAAAUUCCUUGUCGGGUAAGUUCCGACCUGCACGAAUGGCGUAAUGAUGGCCAGGCUGUCUCCACCCGAGACUCAGUGAAAUUGAACUCGCUGUGAAGAUGCAGUGUACCCGCGGCAAGACGGAAAGACCCCGUGAACCUUUACUAUAGCUUGACACUGAACAUUGAGCCUUGAUGUGUAGGAUAGGUGGGAGGCUUUGAAGUGUGGACGCCAGUCUGCAUGGAGCCGACCUUGAAAUACCACCCUUUAAUGUUUGAUGUUCUAACGUGGACCCGUGAUCCGGGUUGCGGACAGUGUCUGGUGGGUAGUUUGACUGGGGCGGUCUCCUCCUAAAGAGUAACGGAGGAGCACGAAGGUUGGCUAAUCCUGGUCGGACAUCAGGAGGUUAGUGCAAUGGCAUAAGCCAGCUUGACUGCGAGCGUGACGGCGCGAGCAGGUGCGAAAGCAGGUCAUAGUGAUCCGGUGGUUCUGAAUGGAAGGGCCAUCGCUCAACGGAUAAAAGGUACUCCGGGGAUAACAGGCUGAUACCGCCCAAGAGUUCAUAUCGACGGCGGUGUUUGGCACCUCGAUGUCGGCUCAUCACAUCCUGGGGCUGAAGUAGGUCCCAAGGGUAUGGCUGUUCGCCAUUUAAAGUGGUACGCGAGCUGGGUUUAGAACGUCGUGAGACAGUUCGGUCCCUAUCUGCCGUGGGCGCUGGAGAACUGAGGGGGGCUGCUCCUAGUACGAGAGGACCGGAGUGGACGCAUCACUGGUGUUCGGGUUGUCAUGCCAAUGGCACUGCCCGGUAGCUAAAUGCGGAAGAGAUAAGUGCUGAAAGCAUCUAAGCACGAAACUUGCCCCGAGAUGAGUUCUCCCUGACCCUUUAAGGGUCCUGAAGGAACGUUGAAGACGACGACGUUGAUAGGCCGGGUGUGUAAGCGCAGCGAUGCGUUGAGCUAACCGGUACUAAUGAACCGUGAGGCUUAACCUUACAACGCCGAAGGUGUUU
rnacentral:rRNA from 1 species